UCAGAAAGGAAAUUCCUAGGACAUGUCACAUUUCACAGGAUAGAGAGAUGCCAUUUCCACUGCAAUUCGGAAUGGAAGCAAGUCUGGCCUCAUUCUUUAUCUGGGAACCUCCGUAACCGUCCCUUCCAACAACGCUGAGGUUUGAUGGCAAGGAGACUGUUAGCAACAGAAAAAGGCACAAUAUGGAUCCUCUGGGACUGUAACAGAAUGUAUGGGUGAGCAGCCUGGGGAGGACCAUUUUCAAACAUCCAGCAUCCAAGGGGCGAGAAGAGCUAAGCAGGAAGAGUACAUUUGAGCCAUUGUGCAGAGUCUCCCCCACCCCACCAUUAUUGCUCUUGUCUGCUUAAUAACGGGAUGUCACCUGGACUGUUCACCUUUAAGCUGGAGGCCCAGACAUGCUUCCUCUAUUUCAUUAUCCAGUGACCUCUCCCAUCAGCAGCCUGUGGCUGUGAAUUCUUUAUCCCUGUGAACGUGGCUGCCAUGUGUGAUUCUGACGGAAGACGGCAAGAAGCCCUGGGCUGGGGCAGCAGGUGCAAGCUUCCAGGGAGCACGCCUUUUCCCCGGCAGGUCUGAAGUGGGAAGGGAGAAUCUACCAGGUCCAGAAGCUGUCCAGCUGAGACCACGGAAACUCUGGAACCACAGGACUGCAAGCCUGGUUGCCUGGGUGGGAGCGGAAUCUAGACACAGGCGGGAUUGAGGCUGCCUUUGUGUCUUCACAUAAACCCGCCUGCAAGGCCCAGCCAGCGCGGCCACUAAGCAGGAAGCCUCCAGCUCCCUUUCUUGGUCUGCAUUGGACACGCUAGAACUAGAAACUUCUGAAAGCCCAUGAAAGGUAAGACUACCUUGUUCCAGUUUACCAGCCCCCCCCUCCCCCCCCGCCACGCUCCAACUAGGAUUCCGAGGAAGAGCUAAUCCUUUGCGUGACCCUUGCCCCUAGCUACCUCUUCCGCAUCUUCUGUCCCUCAUAUAGACUGUAUUGAAAGAUAGCUUUCAAAUAUGACUUCAGGCUUCCGGACUCCCCACGGGGUUCUCAGUUGUGCUGUAUUUGGUAUGUUAUCUGGGUCAUCCAAGUGCUUGAGCUCACUUGUAAUUUAUCAGCAAAGGUGCCUUCCUGCCACCUUCAAAAUCACCGGAGCUGGGCGGAUUUCAGCAGAGACUGGCUGCUUACAGCGCCUCUUUCUUUCCCCGGGGUUAGGAGCGAAACAACAGCACUUUCAUGCGUGCUCCUUGUGGUUAAUUGAUCCUGUUAACAUUAUCUUGGGGGAAAUCGAUGCUUCAGUCUUGCAGGAGACAUGUAAAUAAAGUGAUAAAAAAUAAACCAAGGCCAAUUGUUUCCUGAUGGGAAAAUGCGAGGUGAAU